UCUAACUUGAAAAAUGAAAUUCGCAUUGGGAUUGUGUCUUAUUUUGGUGUGUCUGGCCGUCUACACCGAGGCGUGCGGCUGUAGUAAGUGUAGCAGCUGUUGCAGCCACAGCAGUCACCACUCCCACCACAGCAAACACGGCAUCCCCAUCCCGAUCCCCUACCCCAUGUCUCACGGCAGCAGCGGCGGCAGUCACACCAACUUCCUUCCCAUCAUCCUCACCACAACGGGAUAAAAGUACAGAUUAAUGCCGUACCGUUACGAAGAACAACCGCCACUCUUGUCAAAUAAACGUUUGAAGCGAG